rnacentral:rRNA from 1 species
CGCGUAGGCGGUUUGGUCAGUUGGAUGUGAAAGCCCCGGGCUUAACCUGGGAACUGCAUUCAAUACUGCCAGGCUAGAGUACGGUAGAGGGGGGUAGAAUUCCACGUGUAGCGGUGAAAUGCGUAGAGAUGUGGAGGAAUACCAGUGGCGAAGGCGGCCCCCUGGACUGAUACUGACGCUGAGGUGCGAAAGCGUGGGGAGCAAACA